rnacentral:rRNA from 1 species
AAACAUUUCUAAAUGAACUUACAUUUAGUAAGACCUGCUCACUGAACCCUAAAUAGCCGCAGUCACCUGUGCUAAGGUAGCAUAAUCACUUGCCUUAUAAUUAAAGGCUAGAAUGAAAGGUCAAACAUGCCUCUCCCUUUAUUAAAUUAUCUUCUUUAAAUUCUCUUGUAAGUAAGAAGACUUACAUAAUAUAGGAGGACGACAAGACCCUAUCGAACUUUUACUAUAUGUUUAGCUGGGGUGGCCGCAAACAAAAUCUUUUUCUUAAUCUACUAAAUAACCCCCAUAAGAAUAAACUAAGUUACCGUAGGGAUAACAGCAUAAUUUAUUCCAAAAGACCUUAUUUAAGAAUAAGAUUGUGACCUCGAUGUUGAAUUAAUAUUCUUCUAGGGGCAAAAUUCUAGAAAGAAAGUCUGUUCGACUUUUAAACAAUUACGUG